AUUGAACGCUGGGGGCAUGCUUUACACAUGCAAGUCGAACGGUAACAGGUUAAGCUGACGAGUGGCGAACGGGUGAGUAAUGCAUCGGAACGUGCCCGAUCGUGGGGGAUAACACUUCGAAAGAAGUGCUAAUACCGUAUACGAUCUGAGGAUGAAAGCGGGGGACCGUAAGGCCUCGCGCGAUCGGAGCGGCCGAUGUCAGAUUAGGUAGUUGGUGGGGUAAAGGCUCACCAAGCCGACGAUCUGUAGCUGGUCUGAGAGGACGACCAGCCACACUGGGACUGAGACACGGCCCAGACUCCUACGGGAGGCAGCAGUGGGGAAUUUUGGACAAUGGGCGCAAGCCUGAUCCAGCAAUGCCGCGUGCAGGAAGAAGGCCUUCGGGUUGUAAACUGCUUUUGUACGGAGCGAAAAGGCUCUCUCUAAUACAGGGGGCUCAUGACGGUACCGUAAGAAUAAGCACCGGCUAACUACGUGCCAGCCGCCGCCGUAA
rnacentral:rRNA from 1 species